UCCUUCCACUUGAUUGGAAAAGUUGAUGAAGUUUAAAUGAAGCAGAAUUAGAGGCUCAGGCCACUGAGUAUUGACAGGGGCCCGCGGAAGAAUGUGCAAUUCAAUAGGCCCGAUUUCUGUGGAAAACAGGGGAAAGGCCUAAAUGGUAUAAUCUUCAAUCAAAUCUAACAUCGACACUGACAAGGCAGGGUAAUGAGAUAGGCCAGAUCAGGCAUGUUGGUUAAAGAAAUUAAUCCCUCUUGCUGCACCAAGAGUUCAGCUUUGAUGCCUAUUGUACGGACCCCUGUCCCAGCCUAUCUAAAUGCUAACUAACCGCGAGUGUGAUCUGGGACUGUGCUUUUCAUUGCUGGGGCUAAUCUGAUCCCAAUUUGAUCUCCCUGAUGGCGGAGGCAGGGCUGGCGAGCAGCCCCACGCCGUGUAGAGCAGAGGGGCAGAACGCAGUGCUGGCCGUGCCGGGAGGUGCGGGGAAACUUGCAUUUCAGCAGCUCUCAGCGCCUUAACAUGCCGUAAUGCACCGCAAUUAUUGGAGUCACAGCCGCCUCCCCGCCACCCGAUCGGAGCCUCCUGGGAACCAGCAAAGGAAACGUGCAGCAGCCGUGAAGGUGAUCUGAGGGGAGCAAGAGGAAAGGGACGUCGGGAAGUUACAAAGCUGCUGCAAACAAAGGCGCUCGUCCACCUGGGCGGGCAGCCCGAACCUGCCAUUAAAAUGAUCUUCAUUUUCAGCUUAGUCUGCUCUUCACUCUGCUCGCUUUCUGAUUUUUCGGCCCGGGAGUGACACUAUUGCUUUUAGUUGGGUUUCACUGUGAGAUUUUUAGGCACAAAUCUGCACAUUGAUUUGCUUUAAAAAUCAAAAAUCAAACGAAAGCUAUUUGCCCCAGUAGAGAAAUUUCUUAAAGGCUGUAGUGAGAAAUCUGGCACUAGGGCCCCGCUUUUGCUUGUCCGUGUCCCUUCAAAUAAAUGCAAGUUGAAAAGUCAUGAUGUAAUUCAUUUUAAGUGUAAAUGGUUAACAAAGAUAAUAACCUACAGAAAUCAGGUUCUGUCUAAUCUGCACCAUGUGAGCAGCCAAGCAAGAACAAAACAAUUCCUGCAAGAUGACAAAGGCUUCUGAAAUUCAGUAAUUAAGCAUAAGAGCAUCUCUAGGAAUUUGCACGGAAAGCAAUCUGCCCUUGGGAAAGUGUGGUGAAAAACUUGUAAACCUGGAACAGAAAACAUUGUUCCCAGUGACCCCUGUUUGCUCUCUAUGCUGCAUAAAAAGAAGAGAAAUUAUUUUAGCAAAGGUUUAGAAAUGAAGAGCCUUCUGCCUUUCCUUUGGGCGCUCCCCCAGUGCCCUCCUGUUCAGAAGGGUACUUACUGAGCCUCCUCCAGCUUCUCCUGCGUUCUUGGGACAUUUGCUUGUGCCUUUUACAGAACAGGAGGGCUAUUUGUUGCUGACGGGGUGAGAAACUGAGGGUGCAGAGGAAAUAAGGGCAGAGAUGUUCCUGUGCUCCUACAAGUCCCCAGUGGGUCAGCAGUGCUGCCCUCAGCCCGGUGGGUUCAGCAUCUCCAGAGGACAGCUUGUAGAGAAAGGUGCGUUCUCAGGUCGGUGGUUCAAACGGGAGAACAGCAUAAACUCUGAAAAGAACUGUGAGACGUGUGGUUCUGAGCCUUGGGGAUUAUUACAAACCUUUCCCCUCUGUUUGACAGGGACUCAAAUGUCCCUGACAUUUUGCAUGGUGUCCUGGAUUUGAAUUAGUCUGCAAAUCAUCUCCUGGCUUAGCAUGGGUUGGGGCCAACACCAUGAACGGGUGUUGGCUCUCUCCCAAAGUUUCUUAAACCUUCCAGACAAUAAAGCCUGAGUUCCAGCUCCAUCAUAAAAAUUUAUAGCCUGACGCAGCUCUUGUUGCACUGUGAGUACGACAGCCUCAUUUUAUACAUGGACCCAUUUGUGACCUUUUUUGUCAUUUUAUUUUUUCUUCUCAUGUCUAACAUUCUUUCUUCCUUUAGUUUAAUCUCUGAUUUUAUAUCAGCAACAACUCAUGCAAGAGGCUGUGAAGGCUUUCUUUGCUCUGGCAGUGCUGCUGUUAGGGUCAUAAUGCAACAAUUCGGUCUAAUGGUUAUUAUUUUGCAAGCUGAUUUCAAUAAUGCACUUUUAAAUCAAAGGCCCUUUGAAGCUUUAUUUCUAUUGCAUUAGACGGAUAAACACAGAAGAUUUUCACAAACAUGAAAGGCAUUCACCUUGUAAUGUUUUGGGGCUUAUUAGUCUCACCAAUUUGCAUUGUUUUGUUCACAUAAAGGAUCAAAAUGCCCUUUUGCUUGUUUUCGCAUCCCACACGCCUACCUUUGUGCUGAACAGCUACGGAUGCCCUGCGCUGCUGCUGCCCCUCUGCCUACUGACUCACUGCUGUCUGUCUGCAGCCUGAAUCCUGCUUUCAGACACCCACCAGAAGAACCCACUAUUUUCACCACUGCAGAAUGUUUACUCGCCUCUCGGAAUUGCUGAUUUAUUUCAGUGCUGUCUGUGCAAAACGUGGGAGGGUGUAAAAGCUCGUAAGGAGUUUAAUUUUUAGCGUACCAAAUAAUUCAUUUAAAAUCUUAAAUGAGUUCACGCUGAGAAGAAAACCCUCAGAAGUCAGAGCACUGGCAAAACAAAGCUUGGAACCAAAUCUAAUGAUUAUUUGACUAACCAGCCCUUCAUUAGCUUAUUUCUCUAAUGAAUUAUUGAGCUGUACUGCGUAGACAUGUCAGAAUACGUUGUAAAAGCACAAUGCUGGCCUUAGACUGUGGAAAUAUAAUAGUAAGAGUGAUAUAAUAAUAAUAAUAUUAAUAAGCACACAGAACGCUGCAUAAACACUAAUUAAACCUCAGCGCCCCUGAGCAGCAAAGCACAGGAUGCUCAGCACAUGUAGCAAAUUGAGGUAAACAGUAUAAUUAACAGCAAAUAAAAGAUGCUCUUAUUCUGACCACAGCUCACAGCCCUUGUAGCUGCUCUCCUCUGCGUUUGCCUGCAGCGGACAAAUUAGAACUGGUCCCCAACCAAGUUUGGAAUAGGAGCACUGACAUAGAUGAGCAGUCCUUGCACAAAGGUGGAUGCGGAUGAGGAAAGGAGUGUUGCAUCAUGAUUGUGCCUCCUGGAAGGAUUGGGUGAGAUAGGAGCACCUGGCUCCCUGCUAUGCCCACCUGGGGAGAGCUGAAGAAGGGACAGGGAGAGAAGGUCUUAGAAAAGAGUAAACUGGAGGUGAAAGGCUCAAAGGUUGAGCACAAUGUUCAGGCAAGUCAAAGUUCUGUUACUGCCACAGUGUGGAUCUAUUAAUAAAAGCCUGAAUGCCAGAGUGCUGGGCAGCCUGUCCUUUCAACAACUACUGCUGCAAGAGUUUUUGAUGCAGGCAGGUUGUACCUUGAAGUCAGUAUCCUUUUCCACACCAUAUCCUAGUCCAUGCCUACUGAUGUGUUGACAGUCAGACUUGAUGAUCUUAGUGGUCUUUUCCAGCCUUAAUGAUUCUAUGAUUCUGUGUUUGUCUCUCAUGUAAGAAGAGCUUUUUUUUUUUUCUUCUAUGGUGUGACACAAUUUGAUAAAAUGCUGCUGUUCGUUUUCACAGCUGUUCUUUCUAUGAAUAUCUCCAGAAAACAAGAUGAGUUUGCAAUAAUCCUCAGCAGUUCAAUGACAAGUCAGACGGCCAAGAAGUCACUUAUGGUGUGGUUCAACAGGAGUUAAAAUCUGCCUUCACAAUAGGGAUUGAGAUCUCCUGCAGCCUUUCCCAGCGAUUUCCUGAGCCUCCUCAGCCUCCUUGGAAUUGCUGCUUCUGAAACAGCUUUUCUUUUUGAUACUGCAAGACUCAGUUUGGGCUCAAAAGUUGUUUCACAGAGAGCUAUUCCCAGACUCCACCCUCUUUUUGUCCCCCAGGUGCACUUCAGCUGGUAGGAGCAUGCUUUGAUGUGUGGGUUUCGCAGCUGUGAUUUCUCAUUUACCUUCAUGCAGCAGGUGUGUGUGCUGCUAUGGGCUGGUAAGGCAAAGACUUUGGCAGCUCUCUGUUGGGGAUGAUUACGGUGAGCUGGGGGUUAAGUGUGGGGAAGUCGUUUCCUGCCUAGAGUUGGAUUAUUUUUGUACCACAGAGUAGUUUUCAGAAAGUCUUUACUAAGCAAAGUGCUUUGCUAAGGUUUUUACUGGUAAAAACAAAGCAAGCAAAAAUGCUUUGCUCAGAUUUCUACUGGUAUCACUAGAUGAAAUACUUUCCUCAGUUUUAUACUGCAAGAAAACAUAUGUUGAUUAACAAAAUUAAUUCCUUGAUUAAAACCUACCAUAUAUUCUACCAGAAAGUAAUAGAGAGCGAUAUUUUCAGGGACUGAGUGCUGGUCAGAGUAAAACUGGGGAGCAAAUGUCCCAACCAUCACUCCUAGGCCUUGAGAUCUUCUGUAUUUGCUGCCCAGUGC